AAAACACCGAGCAAACGAUGUUUCCCUAAGCUCUAGGGUUUCAUCAUCUUCUCCAUUUUCAGAAUUUCAACAACGGCUACUGCAGCAAUCGAUCACCGCGUUUCCGAUCUGACAUCCUCCGGCGAUGCUUGGUCGGCGAAGACGGGAACUUCGAAACAGGGAGAGGGACUGAGACAGUACUACCAGCAACACAUACACGAUCUUCAGCUUCAGGUUCGACAGAAGACUCACAAUCUCAACCGUCUCGAAGCUCAUAGAAAUGAUUUGAAUUCCAAAGGAGCCUGGAUCGAUCAUAUGUUGGUGAAUUUGUCGAAGUCAUAGGGAAAUGUAAAGUCCUUGUGAAGGCAAGUCUCGACUUUCUAUUAACUUCAUUAUAUAGUUCUAUUUCCACUUGAUAGGAUGAGUUUGAUAUAUAUUCACAUUGAUAUCUCAUCCUGGAUUCCACUAGACAUAAGGUUUUUUUUUAUCCGUUCUCUCUUUUAAAGCUACAAUGUAUUGAGGAUUCUUCAGAAGUUGAUCUUUUUUAUUUGGAUUGGAUCUCUUGAUUUGGAAGUAUUGUUUGAUUAUAAUUUAUAGUUUUUACCAUUUUGUGGAUGCUUAUUUUUUACCAGUUUUAAUUAUUCUCAGCUUCAAAUGCUGAAGGCUUUAUACAUUUCUAAGUUAGUUGCUUUGUUAAUUGGAAAAUUUUCAUGCUCAUGAAAUUUUCUUCACUUUUCAAACAUGGGGUUCUACUGUAUGGACCACCUGUUACUGGGAAAACUGGGAAAACGCUAUUGGCCAGAGCAGUAACUCAUCAUACUGAUUGUGCGCUAUUGGGGAGGGAUCCUGUAUGGUCAAGUAACUUUUUGUCAUGGCCAGGAUGACUACUACUUCGAAAGUAAUUGGUUCUAUGAAUUCUAGGUCUAUUGGACCAACCGCCUCGUUUAAUUGUUUGGGAAUUUAAUCGGAGAUCAGCAAGGUUGAAGGGGGUGCUGAAGAACGGAACAUUAAUCUCCAUGUGGGUCAUGUUGAAGCUUCUUCUUCUUCUUCUUUUGGAGAUGAAGGAUGUACAACGAGAUUGAUCAGGUAAAGACGACAAGUUGGUGAGAGUGGCGUGUAAUUGAUUGCACAAAAAGCUUUCCCUCAGUCUUAGGGAAUACGAACAUUAAUAAUAAUAUUUUGGGUACGAAGUGACAGAAGAAGCAGGGAAAGCACACCAUCUUCAUCUUCUUCAGCAGCAGAAACAGCAAGAAGGAGGAGAUUGCUGUAUUCAGCCUUUUUUUUUAUGUAAUAAGUUUAUUCCCACAUUGCUAGAGAAGAAAGAAUAUGGUAUGUAUAUAAUGGAUUGUAAUUAAACAUAUGGCAUGUGACUGUAUCCUGGGCUUGUGAAUUGGAUGUGUGUAUUGGGUAAGUUUUAAAGUUAAGAAUAACGUGUUCCACUUAAUAGGGUGGGUG